rnacentral:rRNA from 1 species
UUGGAGGGCAAGUCUGGUGCCAGCAGCCGCGGUAAUUCCAGCUCCAAUAGCGUAUAUUAAAGUUGUUGCAGUUAAAAAGCUCGUAGUUGAAUUUCGGGAUUGGCGCAUCGGUCGUGCCUCACGGGGUAUGAACUGGUGCAGUCAAUUUCUCACCUUCUGGAGAACCGCGAUGUCCUUAAUUGGAUGCCGCGGGGAACCAGGACCUUUACUUUGAAAAAAAUUAGAGUGUUUAAAGCAGGCAUUUUUGCUUGAAUACAUUAGCAUGGAAUAAUAAAAUAGGACGGCAUGGUUCUAUUUUGUUGGUUUCUAGGACCACCGUAAUGAUUAAUAGGGAUAGUUGGGGGCAUUAGUAUUCAAUUGUCUGAGGUGAAAUUCUUGGAUUUAUUGAAGACUAACUACUGCGAAAGCAUUUGCCAAGGAUGUUUUCAUUAAUCAAGAACGAAAGUUAGGGGAUCGAAGACGAUCAGAUACCGUCGUAGUCUUAACCAUAAACUAUGCCGACUAGGAAUCAGACGAUGUUAAUUUUUUAAUGACUCGUUUGGCACCUUACGGGAAACCAAAGUGUUUGGGUUC